rnacentral:sRNA from 1 species
GGAAUAAUGUUCAACGAAGGGAAAUAAAAAAAUAGAGCCUGCCGACAUCGGACAGACCCUACAGUACACACAGCAGUGCAUCCUUGUGCAAGUCCCGCUUAUUAUCCGUGUUGCAGGUUUAUUUAGUUAUAACAGCUUUCCUCUAAAAAUAAAGUGAUCGGAGUGCAUGA